CAUGACGGGUUCAUUCCGCUUCGAAUUCCGCUUCGAAAAUUGUUUCGAAAUUUUCUAAACGGAAUCUCCGGUUGGACUCCAUUUCGAUUCCGUUUAACCAUUUUUGCACAAGGGCGACACCUACUGGUGUACGGUGGAACCUCGGUGACAUUUCGCCGCGAUUCGCCGUAACUGCUUUGGGAUGGUUGUGUGAGUGCAAAGUGUCAAAAACCGCGCCACGACAGUGAUGGAUCUGGGCGUUCCGGGUUAAUUUUGAACUUGUCGCAUCAAGUUCGUCCGAUUCUUGCGUAAAAAUGGUUCUCGUUUUACUGGUCCUUCACCCAAAAUCCUCCUCCCGAGCCGUAGCAGAUUCUUCUUCGAAGGAAUUGUUGCUGCUGCUUCCUAGGAGAUUUCGUUGACGAGCUCUCCUGGGCGACGACGAGCGGGAAUCAUCGGAAAGCUUACCCGUGUGUUGAUGACCGCGGAGAAAUGCAACCCAACCCGGCCAAUGGAAUCGACCAAGGUGGAGAAGAUCGUCGGUAUUGACCGGCACUUCGAUUGGACCACGUCGGGACUGGUUUGUGUACAACGCGUGGGUGACGGUCAAGCCGAUCGACACGCGUUCUGGAAGAACGCUGCUCUGGUGGAGGAAUACCGCAACAUGACCCGAAAGUGAUAUAUGAUAGCGACGUGGGGGUGAUAAAAUUCCUGCAAAAUCAGCUGCCAAACCUUAAUCCGACUGUAGAAACUCCGCGAACUGACCGUGAGCCAAAAAGGACGGAGUGUCAAAACCGAAGGUCGUGGAGCUGCGGGAGAAGGCCAAUCGGUCAACUCGCGGUUGCGAGGUCGUGUAGAUGACGAAGAUUGGAUCUGAUGGUCGUGACCCGAUUCUACGAACAGAUUCCGGCCGGUGUCUCCGGAAUGCUCCCGGGACGGCAGAAAAGAUCGGCAAAACUUUGAUAACGGUGUACUUUUAUUGUAAAACCUUUUUAAGAAAUUAAUAAUAUUCAUAAGGGUUUAUGGGGUUUGGGGUUUGUUUUUAUUGUUUAUUUUGUAAAUAAAAUCUUUUUAACCUUAAAAACAUACUCAGGCAUUUUUUUCUGGUUGAAUACUAAUUCAACCAAAGCAAAACAAAACCAGGAACAAAAAAUAAGAAGAAGAAGCAGCUGUCAAAACUAACCCGUCCAUUCCGUUUCGAUUCCGUUUGAAUUCCGCUUGAACCGAUUUGCGGCGAAAACUCAAACGGAACCGGUUGUUGCGUUUGAAACGGAAUACGUUUUAGAAUCUAAAACGAACACUGUUUAGAAUUCGAAUCGAACUUUUUUCGCUCAAGCGGAAUUCUAAACGGAAUCCAAACGGAACGCGCUGAG